rnacentral:rRNA from 1 species
AUUGAACGCUGGCGGCAGGCCUAACACAUGCAAGUCGAGCGAGCGGCGGACGGGUGAGUAAUGUCUGGGAAACUGCCCGAUGGAGGGGGAUAACUACUGGAAACGGUAGCUAAUACCGCAUACCCUCUGAUGUGCCCAGAUGGGAUUAGCUAGUGGGUGGGGUAAUGGCUCACCCAGGCGACGAUCCCUAGCUGGGCUGAGAGGAUGACCAGCCACACUGGAACUGAGACACGGUCCAGACUCCUACGGGAGGCAGCAGUGGGGAAUAUUGCACAAUGGGCGCAAGCCUGAUGCAGCCAUGCCGCGUGUGUGAAGAAGGCCUUCGGGUUGUAAAGCACUUUCAGCGGGGAGGCGUUACCCGCAGAAGAAGCACCGGCUAACUCCGUGCCAGCAGCCGCGGUAAUAC